rnacentral:lncRNA from 1 species
AGUGAUAGAGCUGGAUAAACAGCCAGCCUGAUUUUUCAAUGCUGUUGUUUAAGAAGAUCUGCGUUCCUUGGUCAAGGUAACUCUGGACAAAAAUAGGCUGAAGGGAUUCAGACAACUGCUCUGUGUUGCAGACAUACCACUGGUGGUUCUCCCCGGCGCCCGGCGCGGGCGGGCCGUGACUGCCCAUCAUAUUCGCGUAGAGGGACCUGGAUAAAGGGCUCCGCAGGUACCUGGCGGGGCCAGCCCACAUCCUUCUCCUCAGCGCCCACAGGAGCAGGGUGUAGCAGCCCAGCCAGCACAGCCACAGUCUCAUCGGGGGACGGGGCGCGGAGUCACCCCCUCCCGUAGCCGCCGCCUCCCCUCUCCAUGGCAGCGGCGGCGCGCAGCCCGCCGAGCUCCGCGCCCCGCCAGGGCCCUCACGCACACCUCGGGGCGGAACGCGGCGCCGCGGCAGCGGGGCCCGGCCGGACCGCUUCGCCGCGACACGCCGGGGCCUGGCGCGCACCCGCGCCGUCCCUUUCUCUCGCCAAUCGCGGGGCGGGCGGGGCCGCCUCUCUCAAAC